CGUGUGUGAUGUCUGCCACCUUGCGGGUCGACAUCUCCGGCGACGGCGCGCUGUUGGAUCAGGGAUCCUCCUCUCCAUCCCCCUCCUCUGCCAUGUGCCACCGCCGCAGGCGAACCAAGAGUUCGGGAUGCUCGAGCACAAACCCUCCACUUCCUUGACGAGAUUGUGGGUGCAGGCGGCCGCCGGUGAUGCACCACCACCCACCGCAGAUGGUGGCUUCCAUGUCUCUCGAUGCAGAUGAGGUCGCGGGUGCCGGGCCGCCGGCGCUGUACCACCACCCACCGCAGAUGGUGGAGCUUGGGAUGGAUACGGUGAGGAAUCUGAUCUCAUUCUGUAUCGCGUGGGGUUGGAUUUGGUAGCGGCAGGCUCUGUACUCGGAUUUGAGAGCGAAUGUGCAGUUUGAGCAUGGGCUUGGGCUAAUUAAUCUGAUAUCAUUCCGGAUGCGAACGUGCAGUUUCAGUAUAAUUAUUGUGGAAUUGGAUUGGUCAGUGAUGUAUUCUAUGUGUGUCCUUAAACAUUCUGGAUGCUCAGGAUAUGGAUCUGUUUGUAAAUUGUAAAGGAGUUAAUGUUUUGGAUAGAAAUUAGGGGUAAGCAGGAUGUAAGCUGCUAAGCUCAAUUACUAGCCUUGUAGUUGCAGAAUAAUUUAAUUUUAAAAAUGCUAAAAGUCUAAGAUAAUUUACUAGAUAAGAAGAUAACUGCAUCUGAUUCAUUGUUGAGCCAUUGGGUUCAUCAUGCAGACCUGUUAGUUGUGAUUUGAUUGCACCAGCCUGAUCUGUUGCUUUGUAGUAAAAUACCAUGCCAUCGUUAACAUAAUGGAAUCAUUUAUUGAGUUUAAGAAGUCCACAUAAUGAAUUAAGAGUUUUUUUUUGUAUAUUUGCCUGCCACAACAAUGCAUUACAUUGGUAUACUUACUAAUGGAUUCUUGCUUUGUGCAUUGGAUGGCACCCUUAGCUUUAUAUAGGAAAUGGAUUGAGUGCGUACAAUAUAAUUUCAAAGGUAGCAGCAGAGAGUAGAGUACAGAUACAACUAGAGAAUAUAUGCAGUUAGCUAGGGUGACACAACAUCUCAAGUUCUCAACUAAUGAUGAUUGGGAAUAUUUUGUAGAUCAGCAUAUCUUUACAUCAAUCAGAGAUGCAUUGGGACAAGAAUAUUGUUAUUUUGAAGUACUUAUGUUCACUGCUCUGCAAAAUAUUCCAAAUCAGACCGUGACUCGUAUUCAAUUCCUAAGUUUUGUAGGUUGGAAUGACCAAAAUAGAUGCUGCUGUACAGACGCUUUCUGAAUAAAUCAUGAUGUUGUGUUGGAGAGCAUUCUGUGGACCAAGCAACGAGCUGAGUUUUUGGUUGUAGAACAUGAUAUGCUUGCAGCUAACCUCCCUAAAAACAACCAGCCCUUGGCAGUAAUAGUGAUCACUGCUACAAGCUAUUUCUGGUGAAUUUGAUGGCUGCGAAGAUUGUCUAGAGUGGUCUGCUUCUUCCACAUACAUACUUUCAAGUUCCGGCGCAUCAAAAUGGUAAGUUACCACUAAGAGAACACCAAUGGCUAAUGUGUUUCUGCUUUAGAAAUUUAAUCCUCUUCAGUAAAUUUAUUGCUCUAUUCUCUUAUGUUACUUUCUUACUCUUAUUUCUUUGAUGAAAAUAUCCUACUGAACUUGUUUUCUUGGUUUCACAGACUUGUUUCUUCUGUACUUAUAUAUUAUAGGCUAUGCAUUUUGUCUUCCUCAAGGUCAAUCAUUUCAUCUUUUCACUGCUUCUGUUCUUGCCUGUCAUAGGCUGAAAAGAUGAAAUCCCUGUAAAUAUUUGUCAUGCAUUUAACCACUGCAUAUAAAUGUCUAUCCAGGUUUGAGGUAUUUUCCUACAGUUAUAGUUUGUGAGCGAAAGAACCAUCUAUUAUGCACUACAACAAUCUAAAAGGUAUUGCUUGUUGUAGUGUAUAUGGAUUUAUUUCAUUUUAUUUUGAUAUCUCGCUAACCUGAGUGAUAGUGCCUUCAUGUGAAAUAGCCCAUCAAUCUGUGCCAAGAAUCUGAAGUCGGAAAAGGCACAACUACUAAAGAUUUAGAAGUGAAGAUGCAAGAGUCGAAAAUUAGUGAAAUGAUUGCAAUCAGAACAAGCAAGCUGAAGUAGGAUUUAGAUAUUAGUGGUGCUGUACAAGGUUUAUGUGAUAUAAAUGUUCUAUACAGUUUGUUUCAGUUGAGAUUAAUAGAAAAAUGGAAAUGCAUGUUAAUUUUGAAUUUUA